rnacentral:rRNA from 1 species
UGACUGGGGCGGUCGCCUCCUAAAUUGUAACGGAGGCGUGCGAAGGUAAGCUCAAUUCAGCCGGAAAUUGAAUUAAGAGCAUAAUGGCACAUGCUUGCCUGACUGUGAGACUUACAAGUCAAACAGAGACGAAAGUCGGCCAUAAUGACCCGGAAAUUUUAAAUGGAAAAAUUUUCGCUUAACGGAUCAAAAGUACGCUAGGGAUAACAGGCUAAUCGUUCCCAAGAGUCCAUAUCGACGGAACGGUUUGGCACCUCGAUGUCGACUCAUCACAACCUGGGGCUGAAGAAGGUCCCAAGGGUUUGGUUGUUCGCCAAUAAAAGUGGUACGUGAGUUGGGUUUAGAACGUCGCAAGACAGUUUGGAUCCUAUCUACAGAAAUUGUUUGAAGAAUUGUGAAAAUCAACACUUAGUACGAGAGGAUUGGUUGUUGAUUAACCUCUGGUGUUUCAAUUGUUUAUCCAUAAGCAUUGUUGGGUAGCUACGUUAAAAAUUUGUAACUGCUGAAAGCAUCUAAGU